CUGAUCGAUUACUUCUUAGAAUUCUCGUCUGAACCCCAUUCCUGAGUUUCUGGUGAAUUGUAAACGCUAUAAAGAGGAACUAAAGCUGGAUACAGAUUUGAAGGAAGCAGAAAAGGAAUAUCGAGUUCUUCUGCAGAAAGCCAAGAGGCCCGAGUACUCGAAAACUAGACCUCAUUACGAACGAAAUCUUUUUGACAUCGAAAGAAGAAGUCAAGCACCAACCCUCUACGAUGUUUUAAAUAUUGUCUCCAAAAGAUAUCCUUACACCAAGUGGAAAAAAGCCAUGUCGGAAUUCAUUGGUUUGACACCUAUCCAGCCAAGUUUGCAGGUUUUAACUGCCAAUGAAGUUCAGGUGUUCAUUCCAGUUACAUUCACAACAAAACGUGAAGAGGAAUCAUAAAAACCGAACGUGAAUAAAUGUGACAAAGAAAUAGUUGAUAAAAGAGAAGAAUGGAAGAAUAUUGUGUCUCCAGCUGUUAUAAUUGUACAUUGUAUAAAAUUCAUGUACACUGUCGUUUGUAUGCCCUCACUGUUUUUUCUAUAGUUGUACGUUUGUACAUGUAAUCCCUCGCUGUUAUUGUAUAACUGUAGGUUUGUAUGCCCUCGCUAUUUAUUGUGUAACUGUAUAUAAUUAUACGUUUGUAUGCCCCCGCUGUUCGUUGUGUACCUGUUCUCUCCUGUUGGUUAGUGUUACGUACGU